GUGAGUGCUGUGUCCUGUCAGCUGGAAGG
rnacentral:piRNA from 1 species